ensembl:lncRNA
CUACUGCGUCACGUCCCCCCCGCUCCUCCGUGAGGACGUCGGCACCGGGCCGGAGUGCCGCUACCGGUGACGGAUAUCCCGGGUCCGUUGCCCGCUCGAAGCAGAAAGCAGCGACGCGGGAACUGGCGUGCGCUUGGUUUGCUCUCUCGAGUUGCAAAAUCCAGGGAAAUUGUGUUUUCGUGUGUAGCGGCCGUGAGUAACUUUGACCGAAGCAUCCUUCCUUCCUGCCCGUUCUGAAGGAAGGAAUCUCUCCCUUGCCUUUGGUCUCCGUGCUGACGGGAACUCAUACGGGCUUGGUUACUUCAGCCGCUGCUAGGGGAGAGGGGGCCGUGCCGGAGCGGCUGUCACACGGCGUGCUGAGGGGACUUUCCCUUCCUAAGUGGCUGUUCAUAUUCCUUUGCUCGAGCCCCACAUGAACACAGAUUUCAGCACCAUCCAAUAAUAAUCUGAAAAUUGCCUUCAUGGGUGAAGAUUGCUUUGAGUGGCAUUACUGGAAGUUACCCAUAGCCCUGCCUUAAUCUGGUAAGAAUAAUUCAGUAGACCAUCUCAUGGCCACUGUUAGAUGUAAGAUGUCCUUACAUUAAUUAUCUUCUUGAUUUUAAGUCAUUGUCAUUGUUUUGAUAGAUUUUUCUUACGCGGUCCCAUUUUGACAUGUUAGUUGCCUUUGGAAAGGUUUAUUCUUCAUUUGUUUUGAAUAGGUCUGGGAAGACUUCCUAAAAAAUCAUUUCCAUAUCCAGCCUAUCAGCUAGAGUAAGGAUAUGUAUCCAAAUGAUCAGAGUAAUUCUUGCCCAUGCCUGGUUUGGAUGAGGAGUACAUACAUGAGGACUUCAAGAUGCCACAAGUCUUGGGGUGGCACACCCGCACUGCGGGAGCAGGGAGACGGCUUUGCAGCGCUGAGUGCAAAAAGAGAAGUACAGAAUAAAUAAUUCAUCGCCAACCUUACUGUUACGAUAGAUCUGCACAGGCUCAUGGCUAAGACAAGGAAAACGG